rnacentral:rRNA from 1 species
UACGGAGGGUGCGAGCGUUGUCCGGAAUCAUUGGGCGUAAAGGGCGCGUAGGUGGCCCGGUCAGCGUGCGGUGAAAGCUCGGGGCUCAACCCCGAGUCGGCCGUGCGAACUGCUGGGCUGGAGCACUGUAGAGGCAGGCGGAAUUCCGGGUCGUAGCGGUGAAAUGCGCAGAUAUCAGGAAGAACACCCGUGGCGAAAGCGGCUCUCUGGAACGGUACUGACGCUGAGACGCGAAAGCGUGGGGAGCGAACAGG